AGGUCUAGCGUAUUUGCCUGCGUAAAACGGAUUCACGGGUUUGAAGUAGGGAGAAAGAAGCAGGGAAGUGAGGUGCUAUAGUUGGUGAAGGGAAGGGGGCAACUUUGCGAUGGGGGGCGGUGGCGGCACGCCGACGAAGGAACGUGCAAUGACACUACUACGGAGGCGGUGAUCGGCGACGACCGCACCAGUAGAUGGAAAGGGAUUUUCAGUGCGUGAAGGAAGCAAAAUAUUAGGGUUCUUGAACAGGGAGGAAGGAGGCGAAUGUCCGUCGCCGGAGCAGCGGGCCAGGCUAGCCGGAGAAUGUCUCUGAUCCUUCUCACAUUGAUUUUGCUCAUCACAAGGAAGAAAAUUUGGCUUGCAUCUCCACUCACUUGAACCGCAAUAGGUUUAACAACUUUGAGAAACCUUCUUCACGAUGAGCGUCAUUUCAAUUGAACAGGAUAUCACGAUCCUUCAUUUUCACGUUUUUUAGUUUACUAACAUUCAAUCUACUGUCUUGUGGGAAUUAGUUUUUAAUAUUUUUUUGAAUUUAAUUAGGAAGAUGUUCUCAUUGUCCAAGUGUCUCUAUAUGAACUUAAACUUUACCUGAUGUUUCAAGUGUUGGAUGAAUUGAUUA